AGCGAACGCUGGCGGCAGGCUUAACACAUGCAAGUCGAGCGCCGUAGCAAUACGGAGCGGCAGACGGGUGAGUAACACGUGGGAACGUACCUUUUGGUUCGGAACAACCCAGGGAAACUUGGGCUAAUACCGGAUAAGCCCUUACGGGGGAAGAUUUAUCGCCGAAAGAUCGGCCCGCGUCUGAUUAGCUAGUUGGUGAGGUAACGGCUCACCAAGGCGACGAUCAGUAGCUGGUCUGAGAGGAUGAUCAGCCACACUGGGACUGAGUCACGGCCCAGACUCCUACGGGAGGCAGCAGUGGGGAAUAUUGGACAAUGGGCGCAAGCCUGAUCCAGCCAUGCCGCGUGAGUGAUGAAGGCCCUAGGGUUGUAAAGCUCUUUUGUGCGGGAAGAUAAUGACUGUACCGCAAGAAUAAGCCCCGGCUAACUUCGUGCCAGCAGCCGCCGUAACAC
rnacentral:rRNA from 1 species